AAGCAUAACACAUUUGUAUGUAUGCAUGAAUAAUUAGGGUUACAAACCAAUAAUCAAUAUGAGCCACCUCUCAUGGCCACAUACAACAUAAUCAUAAUACUUUCAUAAGCCAACACAUUUGGCUAUUCAAUAUAACACAUAACAAAAUAGCCAAGUCCCUAUACAUGCCAUAUUCAAAAUGUUGAGACUAACAAUACCCAAAAUAUCCAAUUGAUAGUGUGAGUGAAAACUUUGACGUCCUCCAAUCUUUG
rnacentral:lncRNA from 1 species